GCAUAUCAAUAAGCGGAGAAAAGAAACCAACAGGGAUUGCCUCAGUAACGGCGAGUGAAGCGGCAACAGCUCAAAUUUGAAAUCUGGCUCUUUUAGGGUCCGAGUUGUAAUUUGUAGAAGAUGCUUCGGGUGUGGCUCCGGUCUAAGUUCCUUGGAACAGGACGUCAUAGAGGGUGAGAAUCCCGUAUGUGACUGGUUGCCUUCGCCCAUGUGAAGCUCUUUCAACGAGUCGAGUUGUUUGGGAAUGCAGCUCAAAAUGGGUGGUAAAUUUCAUCUAAAGCUAAAUAUUGGCCAGAGACCGAUAGCGCACAAGUAGAGUGAUCGAAAGAUGAAAAGCACUUUGGAAAGAGAGUUAAACAGUACGUGAAAUUGUUGAAAGGGAAGCRCUUGCAACCAGACUUGCAUGCGGUCGAUCAUCCGGUGUUCUCACCGGUGCACUCGAUYGUAUUCAGGCCAGCAUCGGUUUCGGUGGUUGGAUAAAGGCCUUGGGAAUGUAGCUUCUUUCGGGGAGUGUUAUAGCCCAAGGUGCAAUGCAGCCUACCGGGACCGAGGACCGCGCUUCGGCUAGGAUGCUGGCGUAAUGGUUGUAAGCGACCCGUCUUGAAACACGGACCAAGGAGUCUAACAUCUAUGCGRGUGUUUGGGUGUCAAACCCAUACGCGUAAUGAAAGUGAACGGAGGUGAGAACCCUUAAGGGUGCAUCAUCGACCGAUCCUGAUGUCUUCGGAUGGAUUUGAGUAAGAGCAUAGCUGUUGGGACCCGAAAGAUGGUGAACUAUGCCUGAAUAGGGUGAAGCCAGAGGAAACUCUGGUGGAGGCUCGCAGCGGUUCUGACGUGYAAAYCKAUCGUCAAAUUUGGGUAUAGGGGCGAAAGACUAAUCGAACCAUCUAGUAGCUGGUUCCUGCCGAAGUU
rnacentral:rRNA from 1 species